rnacentral:tRNA from 1 species
AAAAAAUUAGUUAAAUAUUAAUAAUACUGGUUUGUCAAACCAGAGUUAUCUAUAAAAGAUAUUUUUUA